GACUGGCCACUACGGUGGCCUAGUGGAUAGAGCGGCUGCCUCGGAUGCGGGAGGUAAUGGGUUUGAACCCCGGCUGAGUCA